rnacentral:rRNA from 1 species
CAGCAGCCGCGGGAAAACGGAGGGUGCAAGCGUUAUCCGGAUUUAUUGGGUUUAAAGGGUCCGUAGGCGGAUCUGUAAGUCAGUGGUGAAAUCUCACAGCUUAACUGUGAAACUGCCAUUGAUACUGCAGGUCUUGAGUAAAUUUGAAGUGGCUGGAAUAAGUAGUGUAGCGGUGAAAUGCAUAGAUAUUACUUAGAACACCAAUUGCGAAGGCAGGUCACUAAGAUUUAACUGACGCUGAUGGACGAAAGCGUGGGGAGCGAACAGGAUUAGAUACCCCAGUAGUCCCUGUCUCUUAUAC